rnacentral:pre_miRNA from 1 species
UCUUGUGAUGCGCAAAGAAAGUGGUUUCUUGACAUAGAGUCCACUCCUGGUGAAGAUGCUGUGAA